rnacentral:rRNA from 1 species
GGCCGAUGGAAAUUUUUCGGUGGGGAUUAGUGGCGAACGGGUGAGUAACACGUGGGCAAUCUGCCCUGCACUCUGGGACAAGCCCUGGAAACGGGGUCUAAUACCGGAUACUGAUCCUCGCAGGCAUCUGCGAGGUUCGAAAGCUCCGGCGGUGCAGGAUGAGCCCGCGGCUAUCCACCUAUUUGGGGAGGUAACGGCUCACCAAGGCGACAACGGGUAGCCGGCCUGAGAGGGCGACCGGCCACACUGGGACUGAGACACGGCCCAGACUCCUACGGGAGGCAGCAGUGGGGAAUAUUGCACAAUGGGCGAAAGCCUGAUGCAGCGACGCCGCGUGAGGGAUGACGGCCUUCGGGUUGUAAACCUCUUUCAGCAGGGAAGAAGCGAAAGUGACGGUACCUGCAGAAGAAGCGCCGGCUAACUACGUGCCAGCAGCCGCGGUAAUACGUAGGGCGCAAGCGUUGUCCGGAAUUAUUGGGCGUAAAGAGCUCGUAGGCGGCUUGUCACGUCGGUUGUGAAAGCCCGGGGCUUAACCCCGGGUCUGCAGUCGAUACGGGCAGGCUAGAGUUCGGUAGGGGAGAUCGGAAAUUCCUGGUGUAGCGGUGAAAUGCGCAGAUAUCAGAGGAACACCGGUGGCGAAGGCGGAUCUCUGGGCCGAUACUGACGCUGAGAGCGAAAGCGUGGGGAGCGAACAAGGAUUAGAUACCCUGGUAGUCCAAGCCGUAAACGGUGGGGCACUAAGGUGGUGGGGCACAUUCCACGUUGUUCCGUGCCGCAACUAAACGCAUUAAGUUGCCCCCGCCUGGGGGGAGUACGGCCGCAGGCUAAACUCAAAGGGAUUGACGGGGCCCGCAUAACCGGGCGAGC